AUUCGUUUUUGUACUUCACAUGCUGCCUAGGGCCACACCCUUUUGGUGGUGAGUGGGGAGCUGGAAGGAGCCAGGUUCUUGAGGACUUUAUAGGAGAAGAAAAGCAACUCGGAGAUAAGAAACUCCACACCCUUUUGAGGAGAGAACUUGACAUCUGAAUUUUCAUGUUUGUGUUCUUUGAACAAACAUCAUUAAAGCAUACCAAAUCUACACCCAGUAAAAGUUUUGGAUGAAGACAGACAAAAAUGUGAAUGGACUACAAUGGAAGAUGCACAGACAUAUAUUAACCAGCACAUCAGGAAAUAGAGUUCAACCAAGUUGGAAGGUCGGCCUUGGAAGACACUGAGUUCCUGACCCUGGAGGACAGGCUGUGUUCAUUCAGGACCUGGAGGUUUUCAAACUCUCUCAAUGCCCUGCUGCUGCAUUUGAACUGUAUACAAGUCCACUUCCUGUGUCUUUGAAGAGGAAAUUUCUCAUCUGCUAUCAAGGGUGUUGCUAAUAAUUUAAAGAUCGGGUUUUUUUUCUGCAUUUUAGUCUGGCACAUCUGGGACUCAAGUUUCAAGUGCUGAGUCUUGUAAGGACUGUUCUGCAGCCAAAAACCAGGAAAGGGGAAACAGAAGCAAAAAACCAAUCACAAGUGAAAAAACUCAGCCAGCCUAAUUAAAUAUUUGGAAUCAAAAAUUGUUGGCCACCUGGAAGGGGAAACACCCUUUUCAUCCUGUCAUUCAUUUCUUAGCUAAAUAAUGGGUUCAAUAUACAUAAUUCCAAAACCAAAAUUAGAAUUUUUGGAAGACGCCCCCAAUAUUUAGGCAUUUUAUCUCCUGACCAGUUUGUCUUGGAAGGUAUUCCAGGCCAGGAAAUUCUAAUGUAUUUCUCUAUGUUAAAAGACAUAUAGGAGAUUUUUAUUUAUUGGUCAAGGUGGAUACGUGGGAACACCUGCUUUAAAAUGCUCAAGACUGGGAUUAUGACUCUGAUCAAGUAAAACUCUAGAGCCUCAAGAUCUGUUGAAAUGGAGAAGAUAAAAACUGCUGGGUCCCUGCUUGCCCUUCCCCACCCAAAAUUUCUUGGCCCUGACCCUGAUCCUCCUCCCUCAGACCACCUGUAGAUGAAGGUGGAGUAGCCUUCCACUGAGACAUCAUGAGGCUCUCUGGCUGUCAUAAGGAGGGCAUCAACCGACUGUGGAAAUAUAGUUUUGUAUUUCAUCAGCAUCAUAGAAUAUCAUCUCAAACUCACUGAGGGCCAACAGUGUUUAUAGACUCAGUUAUGAAGAAUUCUGUUUUAAGGAGAAUUACCUGAAAGAGAUGUAAUCCUGAUACUUUAAAAUUUAUCUUUGGGUUUGUAGACCCUCAGCGAGCAGCCUACAUGGGCCACUCAGUUCUGGCUCCCCACUGACUUACUGAGCCCAGCUUUGGCAUUCUGCUAUUUGCACACUUGGGUGGGGGGUGGGGGGAGUAGAAAGCUGUGCCAAGAAAUGUGAUGUUGUACUUACUCUAAUUGUUAUAAAGUUUUGGUGCCGCAAAAGAAA
rnacentral:lncRNA from 1 species